rnacentral:rRNA from 1 species
GGCUCGAGGACGAACGCUGGCGGCGUGCCUAAUACAUGCAAGUCGAACGGUCUUUCUAUGGAAGCUUUGCUUCCACUGAGAAGAUAGUGGCGAACGGGUGAGUAACACGUGGGUAACCUGCCCAUAAGAGGGGGAUAACAUCCGGAAACGGGUGCUAAUACCGCAUAGUUUCUUGAUCGCAUGAUCGGGAAAGGAAAGACGGCCUUUGUGCUGUCGCUUAUGGAUGGACCCGCGGCGUAUUAGUUAGUUGGUGAGGUAACGGCUCACCAAGACGAUGAUACGUAGCCGACCUGAGAGGGUGAUCGGCCACAUUGGGACUGAGACACGGCCCAAACUCCUACGGGAGGCAGCAGUAGGGAAUCUUCCGCAAUGGACGAAAGUCUGACGGAGCAACGCCGCGUGAGUGAAGAAAAGGGUUUUCGGAUCGUAAAACUCUGUUGUCAGAGAAGAACAAGUUGGAGAGUAACUGCUCCAGCCUUGACGGUAUCUGACCAGAAAGCCACGGCUAACUACGUGCCAGCAGCCGC